AAAGCGAAGCCGCGAGGUGAGCAAAACCCAAAAAAGUAAGUCCCAGUUCGGAUUGAAGGCUGAAAUUCGCCUUCAUGAAGCCGGAAUUGCUAGUAAUGGCAGGUCAGCAUACUGCCGUGAAUACGUUCCCGGGCCUUGUACACACCGCCCGUCACACCAUGAGAGUUGGGAAUACCCGAAGCCUGUGAGCUAACUUUAAGAGGCAGCAGUCGAAGGUAGAAUCAAUGAUUGGGGUGAAGUCGUAACAAGGUAUC
rnacentral:rRNA from 1 species